UACGGGGGGGGGCAAGCGUUGUUCGGAAUUACUGGGCGUAAAGAGCUCGUAGGUGGUUUGUCGCGUUGUCCGUGAAAACUCACAGCUUAACUGUGGGCGUGCGGGCGAUACGGGCAGACUGGAGUACUGCAGGGGGAGACUGGAAUUCCUGGUGUAGCGGUGGAAUGCGCAGAUAUCAGGAGGAACACCGGUGGCGAAGGCGGGUCUCGUGGGCAGUAACUGACGCUGAGGAGCGAAAGCGUGGGGAGCGAACAGG
rnacentral:rRNA from 1 species